rnacentral:piRNA from 1 species
UACAUAGGCUCCAUAAUACUCCCUC